AUGCGGGAGAGAUCGAAGCGACAACAUUCGUGUUGUCAGCUUCGGCGCCGACGGAGCAACCGCCCCGGAAACUCUCAGGCAAAAGGACUGUAUC
rnacentral:ncRNA from 1 species